AUCAUUAUUAGCCUUUUGGCUACGAUCAAGUGAAGUAUCUCUUAUCAGCUUAAACCUGUUACAUCCUUAAUAUGAGGAAAAUAUAUUAAAUGCAUUUUUGGAAUUAUGGUAUGGAAAAGAACAUUGCGCCAUCAUACCCAUAUGUCAAUCUGAUCUUGAAGCACUGCCUGAAACAAUCCCACA
rnacentral:snRNA from 1 species